ACGACCUUACUUGAACAGGAUCUGUUCUAUAGGCUCGUACCUCUGUAUCCUUAAGUUCUAAGGAGACAGGAACUGAAGUCUGGUGGAUGAGCCAUGACCCUGUGAUCAGAGCGUGAUUGACGGUAGUGGUGGUCUUCUUUGCGGACUAGGCUCAUCACCAACUGUAGAGGAUCGUUCCCGUUCUUACGAAUUGGGAUGGUCGCAGGGUUGUCUGACAGACU
rfam:Vigna angularis cultivar Jingnong 6 scaffold144_91, whole genome shotgun sequence.